AUAGGGGCUGGGAUAGGGGCUGGGAUAGCUGCCUUUGGGUGGGCUGGGAGAGCUGCCUUUGGGUGGGGACGAGCUGGGCAGUCCUGUAUGGUCCGUGCAGUCCCCGUGCCGGAGGAGAUGGCCGGAGGCACAGCCACGCUGCUGCUCCACAGCCGUCUGUCUGUCUCCAGCGUGCGUGAAGCCUCAAGGACACUUUGGACAAAGGCAGAUCUUGGCAGCAAUGACCCCUGCUGAUCUCUGCUGGAGGAACUGCACUAUCCCCUGCUCGGAGCCAGUAGCCAAAGGCUCCCAUGUUUCUGCAUUUAUUGACCCGUGAUUUUCACACUUUUGUUGUAACAAGCUGAGCUGAGAAAAUACAUGCAAAUGCCAGGCAGAGAUAAGAUGUACCACACCUUGAAGUACUGCCAGCGCUGGCUCUGGGAGCGCCAGAUCGGCUGUCUGCCCCUCCAGCCUCCUCCCCCCGGCAGCAGGAACGGGGGAGGGUCUGUCCCUGCUCUGCCCCUGCACAUCCGGAGAUGAGGGUGCCUCACAUGUCCCCUGGGCUCGACCAGCAACCGGCUCUUCCAUCCUGCCCAGUUCCAACCAGUCCCUGGAGAAGGCACCAAAAACUCCUGGCUGCUUGGGACAGGGAGGAAAGGUCACCCUGAUGUCUCAUGCCUUGCACAACACAGGGACACAGACCUCCCCUGCCCUCCUCAGCACUGCUGGCAGCAGGACCUGUUCCUGAGGAACCCUGGUUCCCGAGGAACCCUUGUUCCUGAGGAACCCUUGCUCCUGAGGAUGGCUGUUCCACCGGGCCCCUGCGGAUGCAGCCAGGGAGAAAUGUGCUCCAGAUCACGUUCUCCCUUGGAGGUGGUGACAUUUCAGGGUGUGUGUGGGGGGAGUGGGACGAAGAGGCAAGGCAGGAUAUUCCUGCUCCCCCAUCCCCACGGCCAUCUGGAUGUGUGCUGAUGCCUCCUCACAGCAGGCUGAGUCAGUCCAGUGGCUUCUCAUUAUCAGCUGGAGGGAAUCCAAAUUCUGCAUUGUACGGCUG